AUUUUUACGUAGAACUCAUAUCGAUCCGAUAUGCCGCGUCCGAGAAUGGAUUUUGCGACUAAUAAGUAGCGAGGCACCACGCGAGCAAGAAUGAACGGCCCUGGAGGUUAUGGGCACUGCUCAAUUGGCUCAUUCCUCGGUGCUUCUCGAAGGCCUGGUCAAGGAGGAGUUGCUCAGUGAACUACUAGUUUGAGUUCCCUGAGACGGACACCACUGACAUCACCUACAGUGCCGAGGUACAGGCUUAAUGGCAGAUAUCAAUAGGAGAUGAUGGUGCUGCCACGGACUUUGGCUCGUGGGGGUGCCGUCGCUACUGACAAAGCCUCUGCUCCCCGUCGUCCCUGUUGAAAUGGUGGCUGGAACUUGGAGAGGGUUUGCUGCCACAGCCGGAUCCAGUGUUACAUUCCUGUGGCUUUUUGGUUGUUUCCCAAUUAUUGCAAGGGAGUUGCAGGCUUAUCAUGGGCGACACAGUGCUUUGCUCGCACCUUCACGGAGUGCAGCAAUGUGGGGAAGCAAGUCGAGGACAGCCUCUCUCGAUUUCUGCCCCGGGGGCGCUAUGCUCUUCAGCUGACACCUUACAGACAUGUCAGGAAGCAAGGAAAGGUUCUUUUUUCACUCAUCGUUUACAUUUGGGUGAUUAACUUAGUCUUGAAAAAAAACACGUCAUUUUAAUGACAUUGUGAUAAAUAAAUUUUGGGUCUUUAAAUUGUC
rnacentral:misc_RNA from 1 species